GCCAAAGCCCCGCUGUUGGAAAAGGGAAAGAAAAGGUGGAGGAGUCAGAAUCGGAAGAGGAAGAGAGUCAGCUGGAUAGAAUUGAGAACAGGACAAUCGAGACCCAGGAAGCACUGGCGGCAACCCAGAAGGCCCUCCUGGCCUUUUUCAAGCAUCAAGGGUUCAGGUACCCACCUGCACCUGCCCCUUGAAUUAUACCCUCCCUAGGAUGUUAGUUUUUAGUUUGUUUUGUUUUGUUGCGUCUUUGUGUUUUUGUUUCUUUUGUUCGUUUGAGUCUGUGUUUUCUGUUGUUUGCUUGUUUAGUUUAUUUUAGUUUGUGUUUUCCUUGACCCCCUCUACACACCCACUUUGCCCAAAGCAAA
rnacentral:lncRNA from 1 species